rnacentral:tRNA from 1 species
AUUUAUAUAGUUUAAAAAAAAACUUUACACUUUCAUUGUAAAAUUAGGCUAAACCUUGUAAAUA